rnacentral:rRNA from 1 species
ACUCCUACGGGAGGCAGCAGUGGGGAAUAUUGCACAAUGGGCGCAAGCCUGAUGCAGCCAUGCCGCGUGUAUGAAGAAGGCCUUCGGGUUGUAAAGUACUUUCAGCAGUGAGGAAGGCGGGUGCGUUAAUAGCGUAUUCGUUUGACGUUAGCUGCAGAAGAAGCACCGGCUAACUCCGUGCCAGCAGCCGCGGUAAUACGGAGGGUGCGAGCGUUAAUCGGAAUUACUGGGCGUAAAGCGCAUGCAGGUGGUUUGUUAAGUCAGAUGUGAAAGCCCGGGGCUCAACCUCGGAAUUGCAUUUGAAACUGGCAGACUAGAGUACUGUAGAGGGGGGUAGAAUUUCAGGUGUAGCGGUGAAAUGCGUAGAGAUCUGAAGGAAUACCGGUGGCGAAGGCGGCCCCCUGGACAGAUACUGACACUCAGAUGCGAAAGCGUGGGGAGCAAACAGGAUUAGAUACCCUGGUAGGAUAGCG